UUUUUAUAUAUAUUCCAUUUGACUUCCUGCUCCAGGAGCUUUAGCUCUUGGCAACAUAAUGAGAGCAUCUAAGCCAUAGUGACAUGUGCUUUGCAGGAUUUUCAGUUUGUAUGGA
rfam:Struthio camelus australis contig29686, whole genome shotgun sequence.